UCGCCUGUUUUUUCAAAAACAUUUCUUAUAGAAUUUAUUAUAAGUAAAACCUGCUCAAUGAAAACAAACCUAAUUUAAAUAGCCGCAAUUUUAUUGUGCUAAGGUAGCAUAAUCAUUUGUUUUUUAAUUUAAAACUAGAAUGAAAGGUUUAACAUUUAAAUUUCUAUAUUUUUUAUAUACUACUAAAUUUUAUUAAAUAUAAAAAUAUAUUUAUAAAAAAAUUAGACGACAAGACCCUAUUGAACUUUACUUUUGUUUAGCUGGGGCAGCUUUUAAAUUAUUAUUUUCAACUAUUUUUUAUAAAUAACCCAAUAAUAUUGAAUUUUUAUCAAGUUACCAUAGGGAUAACAGCGUAAUUUUUAUUAAAAGUUCUUAUUAAAAUAAAAGUUUGCGACCUCGAUGUUGAAUUAUAUUACCUUAAUUUUCGCAACAGAAAUUAAAGUAGGUCUGUUCCACCUUUAAAAAUUUACAUGAUCUGAGUUCAA
rnacentral:rRNA from 1 species